UCUGUCACAGUUUCCUAGCCAGUGAGUUGCAACAGUUUAGCCCAUCCCAGCACUGUCUUUGUGAGUGAUGAGUGACUCAGUUUAAAAGUCCUCACCAAGUUUGACACUCUGAAAAUGGAGGCUGGAGGUUGGAGUCAUGAUCCAGGAAGCUGCACACCUCCGCUGCCCUCUUCUAGGUGAAACAGGCAGGAAGCAAGAAUGGAUGCAUCCAUCCUCAGACAUCUCAGACCCGAGUUUCCCCGUGAGAGGAGGAAACAAAGACAUAGACAGCUUAAGAAAUCAGCCUGCUGACUCCCACUGGUGAGUGACAGAUGGGGCUGAAAGCAAGCCCACACCCUGAUGCCACCACACUGCCCCCGCGCCUGAACUGUGACCUGACAUACCACAGUGCCUCUCCCCAGCUUUGGGGAGGUUUGGAAAAGUGUUCUUAACAUGCCUGGAGGGCAAUAGGUGUUUAAAAAAUGUCAGCUCCUGUUGCUGUCACCUUCUAACUCCAA